rnacentral:tRNA from 1 species
CGGGGUAUAGCGCAGCUUGGUAGCGCGUUCGCAUGGGGUGCGAGAGGCCGCAGGUUCGAAUCCUGCUACCCCGACCA